rnacentral:rRNA from 1 species
AGCAGUCAAGGAAUAUUAGUCAAUGCUCGCAAGAGUGAACUAGCUAACUGAGUUUAUAAUAUUCUGGGAACCCGGAAAAUUUGUAAUAAGGCAGGGGCUUUAAUAAUGAUAUAACCCAUUGCUAUAGUGUUGUCCAAAGCUGGUGCCAGAAGACUCGGUAAGGCCAGAAACGCAAACGUUAGUCAUAUUAAACAGGCGUAAAGGGUGUGUAGGCAGCUUUUUAAAGCAAACUCUUUUUAGAUUAACUACUGAAUCAUUUAGAUUCAGAUUAGAAAGAGGAGCAACUAGAAGCUAGAAUCUUAAUGAGGAUAAGCCGUAUAAUAACUAAUCUAGGGAUAAAAUCUGUAAAAAUUAGUGGGAAUACUAAAAGGUGUAAACCAUUAUCCAUUAAAGAUUGACGCUGAGACACGAAGGUGAGAAAAGAGAAUAGGAUUAGAUACCCAAAAUAUCUCUCACAGUAAACUAUGAAUGGUAAUUGUUAGUUCUAUAUACAACUAGCUAUAAAGUUAACGCAAGACCAUUCCGCCUUGCGAGUACGGUUGCAAAACUGAAACCAAAAAAAUUAGUCGGCCUCGAAGCAAACGAAGUGAAGCAUGUUAUUUAAUU